rnacentral:rRNA from 1 species
UCCCAAACUGGGAUUAGAUACCCCACUAUGCUNUAGCCCUAAACCUAGAUAGUUNAGCUCAAACAAAACUAUCCGCCAGAGAACUACUAGCAACAGCUUAAAACUCAAAGGACUUGGCGGUGCUUUAUAUCCCUCUAGAGGAGCCUGUUCUAUAAUCGAUAAACCCCGAUAAACCUCACCAUCUNCUUGCUAAUUCAGCCUAUAUACCGCCAUCUUCAGCAAAC